rnacentral:rRNA from 1 species
CAUGAUGAACGCUAGCUACAGGCUUAACACAUGCAAGUCGAGGGGCAUCAGGAAGAAAGCUUGCUUUCUUUGCUGGCGACCGGCGCACGGGUGAGUAACACGUAUCCAACCUGCCCUUUACUCGGGGAUAGCCUUUCGAAAGAAAGAUUAAUACCCGAUAGCAUAAUGAUUCCGCAUGGUUUCAUUAUUAAAGGAUUCCGGUAAAGGAUGGGGAUGCGUUCCAUUAGGUUGUUGGUGGGGUAACGGCCCACCAAGCCUUCGAUGGAUAGGGGUUCUGAGAGGAAGGUCCCCCACAUUGGAACUGAGACACGGUCCAAACUCCUACGGGAGGCAGCAGUGAGGAAUAUUGGUCAAUGGGCGCUAGCCUGAACCAGCCAAGUAGCGUGAAGGAUGAAGGCUCUAUGGGUCGUAAACUUCUUUUAUAUAAGAAUAAAGUGCAGUAUGUAUACUGUUUUGUAUGUAUUAUAUGAAUAAGGAUCGGCUAACUCCGUGCCAGCAGCCGCGGUAAUACGGAGGAUCCGAGCGUUAUCCGGAUUUAUUGGGUUUAAAGGGAGCGUAGGUGGACUGGUAAGUCAGUUGUGAAAGUUUGCGGCUCAACCGUAAAAUUGCAGUUGAUACUGUCAGUCUUGAGUACAGUAGAGGUGGGCGGAAUUCGUGGUGUAGCGGUGAAAUGCUUAGAUAUCACGAAGAACUCCGAUUGCGAAGGCAGCUCACUGGACUGCAACUGACACUGAUGCUCGAAAGUGUGGGUAUCAAACAGGAUUAGAUACCCUGGUAGUCCACACAGUAAACGAUGAAUACUCGCUGUUUGCGAUAUACAGUAAGCGGCCAAGCGAAAGCAUUAAGUAUUCCACCUGGGGAGUACGCCGGCAACGGUGAAACUCAAAGGAAUUGACGGGGGCCCGCACAAGCGGAGGAACAUGUGGUUUAAUUCGAUGAUACGCGAGGAACCUUACCCGGGCUUAAAUUGCAGUGGAAUGAUGUGGAAACAUGUCAGUGAGCAAUCACCGCUGUGAAGGUGCUGCAUGGUUGUCGUCAGCUCGUGCCGUGAGGUGUCGGCUUAAGUGCCAUAACGAGCGCAACCCUUAUCUUCAGUUACUAACAGGUCAUGCUGAGGACUCUGGAGAGACUGCCGUCGUAAGAUGUGAGGAAGGUGGGGAUGACGUCAAAUCAGCACGGCCCUUACGUCCGGGGCUACACACGUGUUACAAUGGGGGGUACAGAAGGCAGCUAGCGGGUGACCGUAUGCUAAUCCCAAAAGCCUCUCUCAGCUCGGAUCGAAGUCUGCAACCCGACUUCGUGAAGCUGGAUUCGCUAGUAAUCGCGCAUCAGCCACGGCGCGGUGAAUACGUUCCCGGGUCUUGUACACACCGCCCGUCACACCAUGGGAGUUGGAAAUGCCCGAAGCCAGUGACCCAACCGCAAGGAGGGAGCUGCCGAAGGCAGGUUCGAU